rnacentral:rRNA from 1 species
AUUGAACGCUGGCGGCAGGCUUAACACAUGCAAGUCGAGCGGAGAUGAGGUGCUUGCACCUUAUCUUAGCGGCGGACGGGUGAGUAAUGCUUAGGAAUCUGCCUAUUAGUGGGGGACAACAUUCCGAAAGGAAUGCUAAUACCGCAUACGUCCUACGGGAGAAAGCAGGGGAUCUUCGGACCUUGCGCGAAUAGAUGAGCCUAAGUCGGAUUAGCUAGUUGGUGUGUUAAAGGCCUACCAAGGUGACGAUCUGUAGCGGGUCUGAGAGGAUGAUCCGCCAGACUGGGACUACGACACGGCUCAGACUCCUACGGGAGGCAGCAGGGGGGAAUAUUGGACAAGGGGGGGAACCCUGAUCCAGCCAUGCCGCGUGUGUGAAGAAGGCCUUAUGGUUGUAAAGCACUUUAGGCGAGGAGGAGGCUACUGAGACUAAUACUCUUGGAUAGUGGACGUUACUCGCAGAAUAAGCACCGGCUAACUCUGUGCCAGCCGCCGCCGUAA